AACAGCAAAAAGACCAAAAAAAAAAAAAAAUUAGUGCAAAGUGUUCUAUCAAAGUAGGAACUUGGCCAAAUAGUAUACCUUAUUUUCCAUCCCUACUGAGUGAAGUCAGAGCUUGAGUGAACGUGUAAGUCUACAGUGGUCGGUAAAAUAUGUUCUCUUUUGAACCUGCGCAUAAAAACCUGAAGCCAACCUGGUAUUUGACCAUGCCACAGGCCACAGCUGGGUGUCUGCCGUCUGAGGGAUGCUUCAGUAAAACUCCAUACAAACUAUUUGAUAAAAUUUUAUUAAAGUAGAACUGAGAUUAGUGCCCUCUCUACACACACAGACUUAGAAGUGAGGUUUUUCAAGCUUUUGGCUAAAUUCUAAAGGUCAAAACCACUUGCCUGUUUAAGCGAAUGCAAUUCUUUUUAGAAAUUCUCCGUCUUCUUUUAGACAAAGUUUUGGUUCCACAUUAUCAUUUCAUUCAGAAAUCAUCCUUCCCACUUAAGAAGGUGGAAACAACACCCCUGUGAAAAUGUGCCAGAUGUAGUUUUUAUACCCCUCCUAUGAUUAAUUUUGUUGUUGUUGUUUUAUGUUACCUGACACAAGUUUGGGUGUCUAGAAUAUAGUACUUUCUUUUUAAUGUGUAGGGAAAACCCCCCAGCUUUUCCUUUCGCCUUCAGCGAAAGCACAGCCUAGAAUAAUACAUGCAUUGUUUUACAAAGGAAAAGUAUUUGAUGGUGUCUGAGGAAUACAGAGCACUGGGAUGAAAAUGAGGCUGCAAAGGAAAUGGAAUGAAAAACAGGCUUGUUUGGGUCACCCAGAAGCAAAAACCUAUCACACGCAGUCAUACAAAUAUACCCAAAACCCAGCAGCCACAUCAUACUGAUUCCCGACAACAAAACAAAAUGAAGAUGGAACUUCAGGGGAAUAAGACAAAGGGAAGGAGUGGAAAUGAAGCUGCCAAGGAAAACAGAACUGAUUUUGCAAAGUAUGAUAAUCUAUGAGAUGGACCUCUAAGAAGCUGAAGCAACUCUAUCUCUCAAUUUGGAAAAAUGCCCACUUCCAAGUUCUGGAGCAGAGUCAAGGAGCUAACACCUGGAAAGUGAUUAAAAUUGUGCCUUAUUAUGUUUUU